AGCUUGCUCCCUGGUGGCGAGCGGCGGACGGGUGAGUAAUGCAUAGGAAUCUGCCCGGUAGUGGGGGAUAACCUGGGGAAACCCAGGCUAAUACCGCAUACGUCCUACGGGAGAAAGCAGGGGACCUUCGGGCCUUGCGCUAUCGGAUGAGCCUAUGUCGGAUUAGCUGGUUGGUGAGGUAACGGCUCACCAAGGCGACGAUCCGUAGCUGGUCUGAGAGGAUGAUCAGCCACAUCGGGACUGAGACACGGCCCGAACUCCUACGGGAGGCAGCAGUGGGGAAUAUUGGACAAUGGGCGCAAGCCUGAUCCAGCCAUGCCGCGUGUGUGAAGAAGGCCCUCGGGUUGUAAAGCACUUUCAGUGGGGAAGAACGCCUUCCGGCUAAUACCCGGAAGGAAAGACAUCACCCACAGAAGAAGCACCGGCUAACUCCGUGCCAGCAGCCGCGGUAAUACGGAGGGUGCGAGCGUUAAUCGGAAUUACUGGGCGUAAAGCGCGCGUAGGCGGCUUGAUAAGCCGGUUGUGAAAGCCCCGGGCUCAACCUGGGAACGGCAUCCGGAACUGUCAGGCUAGAGUGCAGGAGAGGAAGGUAGAAUUCCCGGUGUAGCGGUGAAAUGCGUAGAGAUCGGGAGGAAUACCAGUGGCGAAGGCGGCCUUCUGGACUGACACUGACGCUGAGGUGCGAAAGCGUGGGUAGCAAACAGGAUUAGAUACCCUGGUAGUCCACGCCGUAAACGAUGUCGACUAGCCGUUGGGUCCUUCGCGGACUUUGUGGCGCAGUUAACGCGAUAAGUCGACCGCCUGGGGAGUACGGCCGCAAGGUUAAAACUCAAAUGAAUUGACGGGGGCCCGCACAAGCGGUGGAGCAUGUGGUUUAAUUCGAUGCAACGCGAAGAACCUUACCUACCCUUGACAUCCUGCGAACCCUUCGGAGACGAAGGGGUGCCUUCGGGAACGCAGAGACAGGUGCUGCAUGGCUGUCGUCAGCUCGUGUUGUGAAAUGUUGGGUUAAGUCCCGUAACGAGCGCAACCCUUGUCCCUAUUUGCCAGCGAUUCGGUCGGGAACUCUAGGGAGACUGCCGGUGACAAACCGGAGGAAGGUGGGGACGACGUCAAGUCAUCAUGGCCCUUACGGGUAGGGCUACACACGUGCUACAAUGGUCAGUACAAAGGGUUGCGAACUUGCGAGAGUGAGCCAAUCCCAGAAAGCUGAUCUCAGUCCGGAUCGGAGUCUGCAACUCGACUCCGUGAAGUCGGAAUCGCUAGUAAUCGUGAAUCAGAAUGUCACGGUGAAUACGUUCCCGGGCCUUGUACACACCGCCCGUCACACCAUGGGAGUGGACUGCACCAGAAGUAGGUUAGCCUAAC
rnacentral:rRNA from 1 species